rnacentral:rRNA from 1 species
CUAACACAUGCAAGUCGAACGGUAACAGGAAGAAGCUUGCUACUUUGCUGACGAGUGGCGGACGGGUGAGUAAUGUCUGGGAAACUGCCUGAUGGAGGGGGAUAACUACUGGAAACGGUAGCUAAUACCGCAUAACGUCGCAAGACCAAAGAGGGGGACCUUCGGGCCUCUUGCCAUCGGAUGUGCCCAGAUGGGAUUAGCUAGUAGGUGGGGUAACGGCUCACCUAGGCGACGAUCCCUAGCUGGUCUGAGAGGAUGACCAGCCACACUGGAACUGAGACACGGUCCAGACUCCUACGGGAGGCAGCAGUGGGGAAUAUUGCACAAUGGGCGCAAGCCUGAUGCAGCCAUGCCGCGUGUAUGAAGAAGGCCUUCGGGUUGUAAAGUACUUUCAGCGGGGAGGAAGGGAGUAAAGUUAAUACCUUUGCUCAUUGACGUUACCCGCAGAAGAAGCACCGGCUAACUCCGUGCCAGCAGCCGCGGUAAUACGGAGGGUGCAAGCGUUAAUCGGAAUUACUGGGCGUAAAGCGCACGCAGGCGGUUUGUUAAGUCAGAUGUGAAAUCCCCGGGCUCAACCUGGGAACUGCAUCUGAUACUGGCAAGCUUGAGUCUCGUAGAGGGGGGUAGAAUUCCAGGUGUAGCGGUGAAAUGCGUAGAGAUCUGGAGGAAUACCGGUGGCGAAGGCGGCCCCCUGGACGAAGACUGACGCUCAGGUGCGAAAGCGUGGGGAGCAAAC